AAUGAACGCUGGCGGCGCGCCUAAUACAUGCAAGUCGAGCGAGAAGACGUAGCAAUACGUUUGUAAAGCGGCGAACGGGUGAGGAAUACAUGGGUAACCUACCCUAGAGUGGGGAAUAACUAGCCGAAAGGUUAGCUAAUACCGCGUACGCUCCUUGGACUUCGGUUCAGGGAGGAAAGCGAUGCCGAGGGUAUCGCGCUCUUGGAUGGGCUCAUGUCCUAUCAGCUUGUUGGGAGGUAACGGCUCACCAAGGCUUCGACGGGUAGCUGGUCUGAGAGGACGAUCAGCCACACUGGCACUGCGACACGGGCCAGACUCCUACGGGAGGCAGCAGUAAGGAAUAUUGCGCAAUGGGCGAAAGCCUGACGCAGCGACGCCGCGUGGGGGAUGAAGGUCUUCGGAUUGUAAACCCCUUUCGGGAGGGAAGAUGGAAUGGGGUAACCCGAUUCGGACGGUACCUCCAGAAGCAGCCACGGCUAACUUCGUGCCAGCCGCCGCA
rnacentral:rRNA from 1 species